CAGACAAAUGCAGCUCAACUAUGCAAUAGAACAACCCUUCAAAUAUCAGCUCAACAUGAUGCCAGAUGACCUUUGCUCACAACACAUCCAGAAAUGCCUCCGUCAGCAGAAAAAGCAGAGGACCAUUAAACACCGAGAAUUUGUAAUAAUACAAUGGUCAGAUGGAGAAGGUAUAGAAUUCAAUGAUCAGAUGCUGAAUCUGGAUGUUUAGAAGGAGGGAGUCUCGAGCUUGGAGUCUUACUGCAUAAGAAGUCCUACUACUCGGAGACCAGGGUGCUGUGAGGGAGCCAAGCCACACGGGAAGACUGUAUUUCCAUACUCUGUUGGCUGCUCCAUUCUGAGUCACCCCAGCCUCACAGCAGACACAAGUGAACACACGUCUGCAUGAUUCUAGCCUUCAGAUGUUCAGUCCUGUCUCAGGAUUCACACUUCUCAGCUGAGCGUUGGGUCCUGUUGAGCAUAGAUUACUUAGCCAGCAGACUCAGAGAAUCCAUCUGCUGUCUAGAUAAUUCUUGUUUCGGCAGUUCUGGCAACGUAGGGCCUCAGGUAUGUGAGGGAAGCAUCCGACCACUGGGCUAGACAUCUAUCUAAACUGAUAGUUUUAAGUACCAUAAUUGAGGUCACUCAUUUGCAGUAAUAAUUGUGGCAGUCAUAUCUUUAGAUAGAUUAGCAGAUAGACGAAUAAGUGAACAGAAUAUUCUGGAAAAGAGAUGAGGGAGCACUAGGGUGAAGGGGAACAAGAGGGCCAUGGAGUUGGAGGAGAGCAGUGGAGGCUCAGCUCCAACCAAGUCAGCCAAAAGGUUGUAAAGAAACAAGUUACUUUGUAUGCGGAUCA